rnacentral:rRNA from 1 species
CCGAACCGGCGGCAUGCUACACAUGCAAGUCGUACGGAGAGUGAGGCAACUCACUCUCAGUGGCAAACGGGUGAGUAACGCGUGAAUAACCUGCCUUUGAGAAGGGGAUAACUGUCCGAAAGGAUAGCUAAUACCCUAUAUUGCCUUUUGUCACUAAGGCAAAAGGUGAAAGCGAGGCUGUCAAAGGCUUCGGCUCAAAGAGGGGUUCGCGUCCUAUCAGGUAGUUGGUGGGGUAAUGGCCUACCAAGCCAAUGACGGGUAGCUGGUCUUAGAGGACGAUCAGCCACAGUGGGACUGAGACACGGCCCGCACCCCUACGGGGGGCAGCAGUGGGGAAUCGUGGGCAAUGGGCGCAAGCCUGACCCCGCAAUGCCGCGUGAGGGAAGAAGCCCUUCGGGGUGUAAACCUCUGUCAGAUGGGAAGAUGGGACUAGGGGUUAAUACCUCCUAGUCUUGACGGUACCAUCAAAGGAAGGGACGGCUAACUACGUGCCUGCAACCGCGGUAAU